GUUGCAAGCGCGCGUGCGCACCGGGGACCUUCUGGAAGGGCUUCGCCUGAGGCGGGGCUGGUGAUUGCGGCGUUUGUCUCCUGCAGGGGCCCGGCUUCCAGAGCAAACCUGGCUUUGGGCCUGAGGUUAAUCAUAAAAAUCAUAGUAAUUAAUUAUAACGGGCUACUUUUUCUUGAAUACUUUUAACAUUUAUUGGCUUGUUUGGUCUUCACACUCCCCUGCUUUGGAAAGGGAGGCAGCAUGAAUGGUUGAAAGAGUACCAGACAACUUGGGUUCAAAUUCUUUAUUUGCCCUACUAGCCAUGCCAAAUUGGGAAAAAAAAUCAAUUUUGUCUACUGUAAAAUAAUACAAUAUCCAAGUAAUAGUGACGGCGUGCCUACCAUACAAAAUGAUUGUGAGGAUUAAUUGAGAUACUGAAGAAGCACUCUGUAAACUAUAAAAUAUUAUACAAAGAAAAGCUUUGGUGGUGGAGCUGUCAUUCUAAUUACACUGAGUUUCCCCUCAAGAACACGGUUCUCCCCUGCACCCCACCAUCUGUGGCUUUUAGGAUUAAGGAUACUCUAGGAUCUCUCUUAGAAGGCUUACCCAAGACAUCCAGCUUUACAGUAAAGGUGGCUUCUCCUGCUCUGUUCUUGGC